GGUAAACCGCGGGUUAAAUCCUA
rnacentral:siRNA from 1 species